rnacentral:rRNA from 1 species
UUCUUUUCGAUUAAAUGAAAAGUAAAACCUGCCCACUGAUUAAUUUUGAAGGGCCGCGGUAUUUUGACCGUGCAAAGGUAGCAUAAUCAUUAGCCUCUUAAUUAGAGGAUGGAAUGAAUGGUUUAACUUUAAUAAAUUUUAUUAAUUUUAUUAAUUGAAAUUUGAUUAUAAGUGAAAAUACUUAUUUUUUUUCUAUAAGACGAUAAGACCCUAUAGAUCUUUAUUCUGAUUUUUAUUGUGUAAUUUAGGGGAAUUACAUAAUAAAAUAUAGAUUUUAGCUGGGGCAGUUUAAGAAAUAAAACAAACUUCUUAGUAAAUAAUUUUUUUAAAAACUUUUGAUCUUAUUUAAUAAACUAAGAAAGUUACCUUAGGGAUAACAGCGUAAUUAAUCUAGAGAGCCCAUAUCGAUAGAUUGGAUUGCGACCUCGAUGUUGAAUUAAGAAACCUUAUUAGAGCAGCUUUUAAUUAAGGUGGUUUGUUCAACCAUUAAAUUCUUACA